rnacentral:lncRNA from 10 species
AGCACUUUGGGAUGCCAAGGUGGGAGGAUUACUGGAGCCCAGGAGUUUGAGGCCAGCCUGGGCAACAUAGUGAGAUCUCAUCUCUACCGAAAAAAAAAAAAAAAAAAGCCAGGGAAAUAGUAAGUGCUCAAUUAGUAUUAGCAGGAAGAGCAGAAUAUUUGUGCUGCCAGGAAAAAUGAUGAUGCAUCAGAAGAGAUCUCUUCUUCAGGCUCUAAUUGUCCCAUGGGAAGUAAGUUUAUCAAUGUUUCUGUGUGCAACAUCAAUAGAAAACAAGGGACAGGCAUGGUGAGCUCACGUCUGUAAUCUCAGCUCUUUCGGAGGCUAAGACAGGAGGAUCACUUGGGCCCGGAAGCUUGAGACCAGCCUGGA